rnacentral:siRNA from 1 species
GGUCGAAGUGCCGGCCUCUAUA